rnacentral:rRNA from 1 species
UGGGGAAUAUUGGGCAAUGGGCGAAAGCCUGACCCAGCAACGCCGCGUGAAGGAAGAAGGUCUUCGGAUUGUAAACUUUUGUCUUAUGGGACGAUAAUGACGGUACCAUAGGAGGAAGCCACGACUAACUACGUGCCAGCAGUCGCGGUAAUACGUAGGUGGCGAGCGUUAUCCGGAAUUAUUGGGUGUAAAGGGUGCGUAGGCGGGACGUAAAGUCAGAUGUGAAAUGCGGAGGCUCAACCUCCGAACUGCAUUUGAAACUUACGUUCUUGAGUGGAGUAGAGGCAAGCGGAAUUCCCGGUGUAGCGGUGAAAUGCAUAGAUAUCGGGAGGAACACCAGUGGCGAAGGCGGCUUGCUGGGCUUUUACUGACGCUGAGGCACGAAAGUGUGGGGAGCAAACAGG